UUAACCACGUGAGGUAGGUUAUUCGGCUGUAUUUAUGACGAAUCUAUGAAAUGGCUCCAUGGCACAGCGAGAAUCGGACCCUUUUUCUCGUUUAUUUUUAAAAACACUUUUCAGUAGGAAUGAGCAUGAAUCGUAAGGAUGAGAGAAACCGUUAUGUCUUCCUUGUCAUCCAAAUAAACCAGUCGAAAAAAGGGUUCGGUUUUGUACCUACAGCUUUGCUAACUCAUACACAGACAAACUCUGUUCCUGCGAAAGUACUUCUCCUGAGAUUGAACGGACUGAAGAAAUAUUAUCUGCUAAAGUUUUGUAACUAAUUAAUUUGCAUUAUUGGUAACAUUGGAUUCAAAAUAUGUUGCGAUCCAAGGAAUUUGAGGGAGGAGGAAAUAGUUACAAUUUCCACUCAGCCUUUGAAUUCAUCUGCACUGGAUCAAUUACGACUAGCUGAACUUAAAUUAUUAAUGGUUAAGUCGAGGAUUCAAAAGAAGCUGAUGGUGAACUUAACGAAUGG